rnacentral:lncRNA from 1 species
AAUUUUUUGAGCUAGAAAAUUCUCCAGAGAUACAGCCAACAUUUUCUUGCUACUAGACAACCAAGGCAGGUGGAUCACAAGGUUGGGAGUUCGAGACCAGCCUGGCCAACAUGGUGAAACCCCAUCUCUACGACAAAUACAAAAAUUAGCCAGGCAUGCUGGCGCGUGCCUUUAAUCCCAGCUACUUGGGGUAACAAAAAAUCCCCCAAGUCUCAGUGGUUGCAGAUAACAAGGUGUCAUUUGUGCUUCAGGCUACAAGUCCAUCAUGA